rnacentral:pre_miRNA from 1 species
UGAGGUAGGAGGUUGUAUAGUUGAAGAGGACAACCCAGGAGAUCACUAUACGGCCUCCUAGCUUUCC